CCCAUUUCAUGUGGCUAAGGGAAUAGAGUCGUUUAGAAGAAUAAAUCUUCUCCUCUUCUUCACCUUCAAUGGCAGCAACGAAGGUCGAGGGUGGACGGCGCGAUGACGGAAAGUGGUGAGCGAGGUCUCUCCACCUGCAACACGGCCACUAUGCCGUAUUGUCUCCUCUUCGGUUCCAUUUCCAGCGACGGCGAGUUCCUUUCUUCGGUGGCGGUUCUUUCCUCCGUUGGCGAAUACGGUAUCUCUCAUCCAUUCUAUCUUCUCCCUUUCAGUAACAACAAUGAUGAUCUAGAGUCGUUUAAUGGCUGAAUCGAAACCGAUUAAAGGGUACCGAGGACAUAAGUUGAAUCGAUCAAGCCAAGACGACUUCCUUCGGUGGUUAUUCGCGGUGGCUCAGAGGAAAGGUAAUCGUCUUCCUCAUUUUUCACGAUCCCUCACCCUCUCCCUCAUUUUAUGAUUUAUUUUUCUUUCAAAUAAUGGCUAUAAUCACUUUCGAUGUGCUCGUUGUGUGCGAUUUUACGCUUCAAGGAAGAUGAGUAUAUGGCCUGUAUGCUCUUUCUAAGCGUAGGAUUAUGCUCCUAGCUUUGUUAUGUGUAUGUGUAUGAUAUCAGUAUCGUGUAUGUAUGAUGUGUUCUCUGUUUGGGCUAUGUAAGUGUAUGUAUAUUCUGAAUGCUCUAUAACUAUGAUAUGUCACCUGUAUGUGUCAUCUGGUUUCUUUUUUAUGUGUAGAACCCCUUUUAUAGCUGAGUAUCAGUUAGUGCAAACCCUUUGAAUUACUAACUGAAAAUGAGCAAUACCAUGACUUUUGCUCUGUGAUUAUAACAUUUAAACUGCUCAUCAUUACUCUUUAUACUUAUUCUGAUCAUUAGUGCAUUUGUAACUUACUUUAUACAAUUAUGUUCAUUAGUGUGCCUUUGUAACAGUUCUUCAGUUAUGGAUGAUGAAUCAAUCAAAAAAACCUGAGUAUUAGAUCUGCAACAAGUUGAGCAAAAGAUGAAGACUUAUCCUCUAGCAUUGUUGUAGGAGUAUCAUACUCCUCAAUAAGUUGUUGAUCAAGAAGCAAAACCAUAUUACUAUCAAUAACAUAUGUUAUUCUAUGUGCAAUUGUAAUGACAAUAGAGUUAGUGAAAUGUUGCUUAAGAGUUUGCUUGAUCAAAUUAUAAUGAAAUUUCUUUUCUUGAUGUGGUGUACCCAGAACAUAAGGUGUUGCAAUUUUGAAAUAGUAGGCACAUUAUCAUGUGAAAGAUUAUUAAUUUUGUUGCUAGGAUUUGUGACAUCUAGUUGAACUUGAUUAUUAUUUUUAUUGCCUUCAUUAAUUUGUUAUAGGAAAA
rnacentral:lncRNA from 1 species